rnacentral:rRNA from 1 species
AGGACGAACGCUGGCGGCGUGCUUAACACAUGCAAGUCGAGCGGAAAGGCCCUUCGGGGUACUCGAGCGGCGAACGGGUGAGUAACACGUGAGCAACCUGCCCCUGGCUCUGGGAUAGCCUCCGGAAACGGGGAUUAAUACCGGAUAUUCACUGCUCCCUGCAUGGGGGGUGGUGGAAAGUUUUUCGGCCAGGGUGGGCUCGCGGCCUAUCAGCUUGUUGGGGGGGUGACGGCCCACCAAGGCGACGACGGGUAG